rnacentral:rRNA from 1 species
UACGUAGGAGGCUAGCGUUGUCCCGGAAUCAUUGGGCGUAAAGCGCGCGUAGGCGGCCAUUCAAGUCAGAGGUGAAAGCCCAAGGCUCAACCUUGGAACUGCCUUUGAUACUGUUUGGCUUGAGACCGGUAGAGGUAAGUGGAACUGCGAGUGUAGAGGUGAAAUUCGUAGAUAUUCGCAAGAACACCAGUGGCGAAGGCGGCCAGCUAGACCAGUUCUGACACUGAGGCGCGACAGCGUGGGGAGCAAACAGG